ACUCUUUUCUAUUUUAGUUUCAGAGUUCUGGCAGAAUGGAAGAAGUAUAAAGAGAAUGGUUCACUGCUUCUCGGGUAUACACUAUCUUGUGAGAAUUUAUGGGUCGUGCUUGAGAACAGUGCCUGCAUGGCAAUUCUUGCAGCAUCUUGACUGCUGUAUAUCAUCCCAUUUUCUUAUUUGCCACAGUAUAAAUCAGCUUUGCAAAUCGCCACUCACGCAGUCUGUUGGGGACCUGAGUGCCCAGGUGUUGACAGUGGCCAAGGAGCAUUAUGAGACCUGGAGGUGAAUCUUUUCUCUGUGUUGGUGUUAACAGCAAAGCUAGUACCAUACCCUGGAUUGUGAUUACACACUGUGUAUACAAUAAUUGUGUAACCAUCCAGGUAAGCGGUAAACAAAAACUGUUUUCAUUUCUUAAACUCCCUGUGCAAUUCUUUAGCAU
rnacentral:lncRNA from 1 species